rnacentral:rRNA from 1 species
ACGCUCGACACCUACGGUAGGCAGCAGUAGGGAAUCUUCCACAAUGGACGCAAGUCUGAUGGAGCAACGCCGCGUGAGUGAAGAAGGUCUUCGGAUCGUAAAACUCUGUUGUUAGAGAAGAACACGAGUGAGAGUAACUGUUCAUUCGAUGACGGUAUCUAACCAGCAAGUCACGGCUAACUACGUGCUAGCAGCCGCGGUAAUCUGAGCGGGCUGGCAAGGC